ACGGCUUUCGGAGAUGGCAUACCUCCCGUAACCGCCGCGUCAGCGGCUGAUGAUGCCUACGAGUUC
rnacentral:ncRNA from 1 species